rnacentral:rRNA from 1 species
AUGUAUGCACCCAAGAAUCAAGGAGGAAUGGCCUUUUGUGAUAUCCACUGUUUCAAUUUGGCUACACUCGGUAAACAGGCUUGGUGUCUCAUUGAGAAUUCAGAUUCUCUAUGUGCUACCAUUUUGAGAGUCGAAUACUAUCCUGGCAGUGACUUGUUCAACACUAAUCUAAAGGAGGGCUCUUCCUUCACCUAGCAAAUAUUAUGA